rnacentral:tRNA from 1 species
GCCCCGGUAGCUCAGCCCGGUCGGAGCGCCCUGGGGCGAAAGCCCCGUGCAAGCCUCGUAUCGAUGGGCUUAACGAAACCCGCGGGGCAGCGGGAGGUCCCGGGUUCGAAUCCCGGCCGGGGCUCCA